AUGGAGGGUCUUCUACAUUGGGAUUUCUCCCUUGGCCAAGCGAUGGAGACUCAGGUGCACAAAGGAUUUGGUACUAUUGUUCAUUUCUCCCCCAUUGGAGAUGCAACGGAGUUUUUCCUAGUGGUGGCUUUCUCCUCUGCCUCCUUCCCCCUUUCGGUUGAUUCGGUGGGUCUUGCUCUACAAUAUUGCAUUUGUGGAUCCUCUCUGGGUUUCAAGGUCAAACAUCUUGCUGGUAGACAUUACCAUUUCUCUGUGGCCUCAAAUAAAGUUGGUCAUUUCAUCUAUGGUCUUAAGGACCAUGUUUGGCCUGAUUUUGUUUGUCAUUUCAACCUCUAUCGACACAAUGCUUGGUUCAACGCUCAACAUGAUCAAAAGUGGCAUUCACAUCAAGAACUUACUGAGGUGGUUUUACGUUCUCCUUUGGCUAUCAAAACAAAGUUUCACUUUACACCUAGUGAUGAUCUUCAACAUAAUAAUUCUGCCAAGGAGUUUGCAAAAUUUGGUCUCUCUAUUCCUCAUUCGAGUGUUGUGAUUGAACAUGAUUCAAACAUUCAAAUGGAUAAUACUAUGGUUCAUACCGACAAUGUUAUUUUUGGUAGUUUCCAAUCGGACAUUUCCAUACACAACAAAGACAACAAUUUUAUCCGUUUUGGCAACUUCCAUUCAGCAUUUACUGUUGAUAAUCAAGAGAAUCAAUCAACAUUUAUUGGAAAUAAUUAUCGGUCCUCUUAUUGGGAUUCCAUUCCAACUUUUAUCCUCUUACACAUUAUGGAUUUCUGA
rnacentral:rRNA from 1 species